CAGCACUUCAACUAGAUGAGAUACAUUUAAAUAUGUUAUGUAUUCAUUAUAGCUUAUUUUUGCUUUGAUAAUGUUGGUUCUGUACAAAAUUAAAAUAGUGUGCAGCAAAAUUAAAUGAGUGGCUAAACCAAGGCUGGUUUAAAAUGUAGUUUGUGGUGAUUAAAAUACUCUCACUCAUGAAUAUCCAAAUGACAAAACAUUUAUUUUUUACAUAUCAAAUUGUUCACCAUGGCUGGUAAUCACAAUUGUCUCAUUACUGUAUCUUUUUUUUCUCUUCCAACUUCAUAUCCAAUACAACCUGUAGAAUUCUUAUUUUCAUUUCAUGUUCUUCCUUCAGAUAUUUCAUUUCAUGCUCAUGAAAUUCUCUGGUUAACUUUUAAUGCAUGGUCAUCUUUUUUGUUCUCUGCUGAAAGGUGGUGGCAGCAUCUUCUCUCAGGGAUGCUAUAGCAGAUCAAAUCAAAUCAAAUGUAUUUGUCACAUACACAUGGUUGGAGGGUACACACUCACUGCACUGGCUCUUCCAACCUGUUCAGAUUGCUUUCCUCUGGAAAAAGAACACUGUUAGAAGCACAAAUAAACUCAUAUGAUCCUUAGAAUGAAAGAAGAAUCAAGAUUGACACAGACAGGGGAAUAUAUUAACCCAAGGAAGUAACCAAUUUACUUUCUUUCGUAUAUGUACCAUUUGUGCUCAGUUCUUCAUCUGAACUGUCCAAAUAGUCAUCGUCUGGUAUACCAUCCAGAGGUUGGUCAUCAUCUGGUAUACCAUCCAGAGGUUGCUGGUGCUCUAUUACUCCAGACAGCAAGUCGCUCAAUUCAUCAGUCAUGUCUUUUUUUGGUGGUCCACCACCAGUAGUUAAUCGCUCUCUUCUGAUCUCUGCAUUCUCUCUUUUAAAGCCAGUUUAAGGUUCUUCCAGAGUCUAUAAAAGGCAGAUAUCAUUCAGUAUAAGUGAUGUCACAAAAAUAUAAAUAUGAGAAAUGUGAAAUACUGAUAAUAAUGAAGAUAUCUCAGCUGAAGUUGCUGUACUCUUCUUGUGAUUACAUUUUCAUUAGCAUUGUAUUCACUGCAAAUUGCAGCCCAAGCACUCUUUUUCUGUUUUAGUAGCAUUUUUUCAUACUCAAUAGGUUUUUCAACUAAUUAUUUUAGCCUCUGCCAUAGUCUCAAGAUUCACACUAGUAAUGGUGUUUUCAAUUCCAGUCCGGGUUUUAAUGAGCACCAUUAGACCAACAGCGUGUGCUCAUACUGAACCUAAUCAGGCUUAACCCAGGUGUUCUCAUUUAGGUUUACUAACCUUACUCCAGGCCUCCAUAGUCUCCGACCAUCUAAGCCACGUUCAUGAAAGCUACUUAAAUGUCCUAGUUUAACUAGUACACAUUAAGGCCUACUCCUGGCUUAAGCUAAACCCUGUCUGUGAAACCGGCCUAUUGUUUAGUAGAAUCGCUCCCCUGGCUUAGACAGGGUUUAGACUACUAUGUUAACAAAAGUAUCAAGCACUUACUACUUGUGUUAUUCACUCCAUCCAGUAGAUGGCAACAAAAUACACUUUAUAUUAGAGAGUGGGGAGUCAAGUCAUCAGGUUACUCCAGAAACAUCAUGUACUGUAAUGUCCAGCAUGUGGCGCCACAUGAUAACAGAUAUCUGCCUGUCUCACUGAAGAGGUCACGAAACAUCUAUUCCCUAUCGUAUCUGUUAGGUCAAUCUACACCUGUCAUUUCACUCCGAGGACAUAUAAGUGAAUCUGAUAUGAACUAAGACACAAAUGGUAAGGAUAAUGCUACCUAACUUGGGUCAAAGGUUAUGUUACCUCUGUGUUAGUUUAACUGGACCUGUUUGUGUGUGUGUGUACGUGUGUGCAUGCGUGUCAAUAUUUAUGAAGGUAGAUGUAAUUAAUGUGAUUUAUCGCUUACAUCUGGAAUGAUGCAGGCAGACAAUACAAGCAUUCACAAGCAGGAGGACAAUUCAAAUUCACAAAAGCAUGACGUUCUGCGAAAAUAAUGUGCUUGUUAUGGCUCACAGGGCCUUUGUGAUGGAUAUUUGUAACAUGC
rnacentral:lncRNA from 1 species